rnacentral:rRNA from 1 species
CAGCAGUAGGGAAUCUUCCGCAAUGGACGAAAGUCUGACGGAGCAACGCCGCGUGAGUGAUGAAGGUUUUCGGAUCGUAAAGCUCUGUUGUUAGGGAAGAACAAGUGCCGUUCAAAUAGGGCGGCACCUUGACGGUACCUAACCAGAAAGCCACGGCUAACUACGUGCCAGCAGCCGCGGUAAUACGUAGGUGGCAAGCGUUGUCCGGAAUUAUUGGGCGUAAAGGGCUCGCAGGCGGUUUCUUAAGUCUGAUGUGAAAGCCCCCGGCUCAACCGGGGAGGGUCAUUGGAAACUGGGGAACUUGAGUGCAGAAGAGGAGAGUGGAAUUCCACGUGUAGCGGUGAAAUGCGUAGAGAUGUGGAGGAACACCAGUGGCGAAGGCGACUCUCUGGUCUGUAACUGACGCUGAGGAGCGAAAGCGUGGGGAGCGAACAGGAUUAGAUACCCUGGUAGUCCACGCCGUAAACGAUGAGUGCUAAGUGUUAGGGGGUUUCCGCCCCUUAGUGCUGCAGCUAACGCAUUAAGCACUCCGCCUGGGGAGUACGGUCGCAAGACUGAAACUCAAAGGAAUUGACGGGGGCCCGCACAAGCGGUGGAGCAUGUGGUUUAAUUCGAAGCAACGCGAAGAACCUUACCAGGUCUUGACAUCCUCUGACAAUCCUAGAGAUAGGACGUCCCCUUCGGGGGCAGAGUGACAGGUGGUGCAUGGUUGUCGUCAGCUCGUGUCGUGAGAUGUUGGGUUAAGUCCCGCAACGAGCGCAACCCUUGAUCUUAGUUGCCAGCAUUCAGUUGGGCACUCUAAGGUGACUGCCGGUGACAAACCGGAGGAAGGUGGGGAUGACGUCNAAUCAUCAUGCCCCUUAUGACCUGGG